rnacentral:rRNA from 1 species
CAGCAGCCGCGGUAAUACAGAGGGUGCAAGCGUUAAUCGGAAUUACUGGGCGUAAAGCGCGCGUAGGUGGUUUGUUAAGUUGGAUGUGAAAGCCCCGGGCUCAACCUGGGAACUGCAUCCAAAACUGGCAAGCUAGAGUACGGUAGAGGGUGGUGGAAUUUCCUGUGUAGCGGUGAAAUGCGUAGAUAUAGGAAGGAACACCAGUGGCGAAGGCGACCACCUGGACUGAUACUGACACUGAGGUGCGAAAGCGUGGGGAGCAAACAGGAUUAGAUACCCCAGUAGUCCCUGUCUCUUAUAC